GCCAUUUUGUGGUAGCUUUAUCAAUGUAUGACUCGGAGCAUGAAAUUAAUCCCUAAAGCAUUUUAUUCUUUGACAAGUUUUGCAACAAAUGGGACUUCAGAAUAAUGAUGAAAUCAUUUUAUUUCAAAAGUGUCAGAAUGAGUUCAGCUGUAACAUUUCUGCUGGGGCUAUAGCAAUGUGUUUAUUUCUGUCCUUAGGAAAAAAAAUCAAUAAAGAUGGAUGUAUGUCACUUUAAAGCGAAGAGAACUCUGAGAUCCGAAAGUGUCUAUGCAUAUAGAUAAAGUUCAUUAUGGGGAAAUUUAACUACAAAAGUCUAUAAUUUGUUAAACAGGGAGAAGAGCUGGAAGAUCUAUCACUUUAAUGAUUACUUAAUGGGAAAAGACUACUUAAGUUCUGGGACACUGUUCACAGAAUUAUCUGUGCUGCUUGUGAAGCUACAGACUGAACCUGAGCUGCUGUGCGGAGUGGGAGCCCUUGACAACUCCUCAACAGGCAAAGGAGCUGGGAAGUCAAGUGUUGUGUGGGACACCGAUAGCAAUAAUAUUGCAAUGCUUUUGUUCUGUGGAAGAGACAAAAUUGAAGGAGCACAUCUGCAGGCCUUGCAUCCUGUUGCACUACUUAUUUAUCUGGCUGGCAACACAGAAUUAUUCAGGGAUUUAAUUAAUGUUUUGAAAUCAUUUUGAGGGAGUUGCCAGAAGAUCCAAGAAAAUCUGGUAAUUUCCUGUUUAAAAACUUCAUAGGCUGUGGAGUGUAAAACCAUUUGAGAGAAGAAAGAAAACCUGUAAAUAGUUA
rnacentral:lncRNA from 1 species